GCCGAGUUAUUCCGGAUCCUUGGGUAGCCGUGCAAGAAACGCCAGCCAGAGCAAGGGUCAGGGAACGGGUGUGACUCUGGUUUGAACCGGGAGAGGAAGUUCACCCAAGGCCCAGGAAACGUAUUCAGCAUAUUAACCUCCUCGGGUGCCUAGUUGACUUUUGAUCAUUGACUUACUAUUUGUGCAUGGGGGGGUGAAGCUGGCAGAGAUGCCCAUGAGAGUAAAAAGUUAUUUUUUCUAGAACUUUUUAAUAAGAUGGUAGGAGACAAAGUACUUUGUUGCAGAGGCAGCUGCUGGAGGAGGGUUUCCCGGGGAGGAUAGAGAGACGGGCUUGUUUUUCUUAUAUAUAGAUUUUUGGGGUUGGGAGGAGUAGUCUUGUGAAAUGAGGCUAGACUUAAUUAUGGCUCUGUGUCGUCUAUAGAAGAGCAGCAACAAAAGCCUGAUUUCUAUCCUGCAAAAAGAAUAAAAUGCAAAUUUAAGUCAGCAUAUUUCAAGGAGGGGCAUAAACCGGAUUGCUGAGGCAACAGCUGGCCCAGAUAGGAAAUCAAAGUGACUGGAAGAAUUUUAAAAACAGCAGCGAACGGAAAUAAUCCCUGUCUGAGCAAAACUAAGAACAAUAUGAAAGCCACAACCAAUAUAAUUAUCACACAAAUUAACUGCAAUCUCAUACUUGUCUAUUCAGAAGUAAGCAUUGAAUUCAGUGGGACUUCGGUUGUGUACACACUCUGGUUAAUUCUCCAUCCAGUGCACUCUCACUGCUAGUUUGGGAAGUGGUUUACACAUGAUUUUAGCCACAAUCCAUAUCUGUCCUGCUAUUUCUUACGCAACACUGCAUUUUGAGGCAUUUCCCCUCAAAAACAGUUUCAGCUUGAAUUGAGCUGUUCAAAUCUUUGAUAAACCUCUACUACAAAUUCAGAUUUCAGGAGCUUAGGUAAGCCAUGGCUUUCACUGCUUAGGGUGAGGAUAUUCUACUGACCUACCAUACGAGGCUGUUUUAAAGAUUAUUGAGAUGAUGAACAUGAAACCCUUUGAAAACCUGGUUAGGCACACAGUUCCCACCUAUCCAUGUCUACUUAGAAGUAAAUCCUACUGCAUUUCAUGUAGCUUAUUUUGCAAAUGGUAGGGAGUGCACAGGACUGCAGUCUUUUUUCAAGCUUCUGUCUGCUUCACUGUCCACGUUACCAUGGAUUGAGACAAUUGGCUUCUAUAUAUGCUAUUUUUAUUUAGGUAAACCUUUGGUGGCUUUUUCACACUGUUUUCUUCUUGUUCUUUUUCUUCUUACAAAUGUAUUUUUGAAUUCAUUUGGGGGUGUAUUUGUUUCCCUUUGUAAGCCACUAAGAAUUUUUACAAAUAGAACAGUUAUACUGUAGCAUGUUUAAAUAAAUACUUUCUUAUAAUGUGAUGUGUGGGAGAGGAAAGCAGAUGGCUCUUAACACUUCCAGUAGGCAAAAUUGUACUUGACAAGCUUCCUUUGCCACCAAACUCUUAGCAGAACAAACGCCCCCUGCUGGUUAUAUGGUAGCAACUUUAUUAUUAUUGCCUUCACAGAGGUCACCCAACUUUUAUUCGGCCCGGUGGCAUAUUUGGAAUGUUGAGAGAAUGUCAUGCGCACUGGUCACAAAAUGGCUGCCACAAGGCGGGUGGCUUGACACAAAAUGGCUGCCAUGAGGGUGUGGCUCAAAACAAAAUUGGGAGUACAGUACUGGUUUUCCUAUAGAACAAAGCAAUUUAUUGGUUGGAUAUGGUCGAUUUUGGGCCACUCACUGUCUUUCAGCCUAACCUGGUUCAAAGGAUUGUUGCCAGGAUAAUAUACUGGAGAGGGGGAGAACCAUGUAGGCCAUCUUGAGCUGCCUGGAGGCUAUUAUUAUUAUUAUUAUUAUUAUUAUUAUUAUUAUCAACCGGGUAGGACAAGAAGGCAAGGCAACCUACAAGGCAAGGCCUGCAGGCAUCCCUUUUGCUGUUCCCUAUCACCUAUUACCGUAUUGGCCUGAAUAUAAGCCAUACUUUUUUUCCCAAAUUCCAACCAUGAAAAGUUAAAAGUGCGGCUUAAAUUCGCAACCUUACAAAAAUUGGCUUUUACGGGACUUCUGGUGAGGCAAGAUGGCAGGCGCCACAGCAGCGCAUAGCUCCUAGGACCACCAGCAUACGACACAAUUCUAACGAAUCGGCUUAUAUUUGGGUAUUGUCUUUUUUUUUCUUGAGUUUUAAAGGUGCGGCUUAUUUGCAGGUAUGGCUUAUAUUUGGGCCAAUACGGUAUAAAUCAAAAUGCAAAAAACAGCCUAUGAAGCAAGUAGGGACCACAUCCACAUCACUGCUUCUAACCCCCUGCCUUAAAAUGCCCUUGGGGGCCAGAAAAGGGAGGAAGACAGCACCCUCACCGCUUCUACCCGUCCAAAUAAAAAUGGUGCUUGGUGCUGGAAAAAGCAGGGAGGCAAGCCACUUCAGAAAAGCCUGCUGGAUCAGACCAUCUAGCUGAGCUUGUUUCCCACAGUGGCCAACCAGGACGAUGCACCUGGAAAGCCCCAAAAGAGAAUAUGGGGGGGCUUGUCCCACAACUGUUCCCCAGGGACUGGUAUUCAGAGGCAUGUUGACUCUGGUCCUGACUGAAGGUAGCAUGUACCUAUCUACAUCAUGGCUAAUAGCCAUUGAAAGCCUAAAUGUUCAUUAAAUUGUCUAUUUCCCUUCUAAAUUGGUGGCCGUCACUGCUUCUUGGGGCAGCAAAUUCCUUAACGCCCUAUGCAUUUUUCAGUUAGAUACAUUAAUGAAAACAGCAGCUAUGAUGGAGCCAAUCUCUGCAGGCUUUUCUGAAGUUUCAGAGUGGUGGCACAGAAUAUGAGCUUUAUAUACUGUCAGCAUAUAAAAGACAUGAAGCAUAUUGGCUGGGGAACUGCCAAGUCAGUGAGUAUACUUACCCGCAAACUUGUAUGUCAGCAUCUUAAUGAUCAGAUUUAAAUCCCACCUAUGCCCAUUUGAAACUGGGAAUUUAGUCUGUUUUUUCCUAUGCCUGGGCAGAAACAAAUCUAACUGAAAUAGUCUAAUCUCAUCUACCUAAAGGUUUGUUUGCUUGUUUUAAUUUUAAAUGGCACUUUCCAAGCUACUGUAUUGAAUUGAAGCUACUAUCAAAUUGUGGAGGGGCAUGGUACUUGUCAGAUAUCAUUUAUGAUAAAAGCUUUCACAAAAUCAGAAUAGCAACCAGUCACAAAACCCCGUUGAUAAUUGGGUUAUAAUUCAUUAGCUUCUCAAGAGAUAGCCUAAAACAGAUCCUCCUCUGCCCCACAUCACUAUUGUUGCUUUAUAUCAGGGUGGGCCAUGGCCCUCCAAAUGUUGUUAAACUGCAAUCCCCGUCAUCUCUGACGACUGAGCAUGCUGGCUGGAGAUGAAGGGAGCUAGAGUCAAGAAGAUAUGGAGAAACAAAUAUUCCCCAUUCCUUUCUCAACCUUCAUUUCUAAGCCUCUUGCAGCAGUGAUUUGUGAUAUCCUUAUGAACCUUCCAACAACUCUCUGCAUUUUGAUUACGUUUAUCUUGCCCUUAGAGCAGGGGGUGGGGGGAACCGGUGGCUCAUGAGAUGUUGGACUACAAUGUCUAUUGUCCCUGACCAUUGGCCAUGCUGGCUGGUGUUGAUGGGAGCUGUAGUCCAACAACAUUUGAAGUGCCACAGGCUCCCAUCCCUGCCUUGUUGCUGGUUAUCACUCGGCUUACUUUACAGCAACCAUUUCCAAUGCAAAUCUAGACUACAUUGCUAUAAUGAUGCUCUUAGAAAAGAUGAGAUACCUUUCUACUAGCAUAGUAUACAUACCUCAUGGCAUACAGUGACACAUGUAGACAUUUCAAUGCUGAGUAAUGGGUUCAUCAAACCUAUUAUUUAAAUAUUGUGAAUGAAUGGUUUAAAAAAACCAAGUUUCUUUGGAAACAUUACGAAGUUCAAUAGCUGGAGUCAAACAGAAAGGACUUCUCUUGUGACUGAGCUAAGAUAAGAGAUUAUUUUAUUUUAAUCGCUGUAUUUGGGCCCUUCCAAAAUAGGUUAAGAGAAAGAUCAGAGCAGCACUCUCCAUACUUGUGAGUCCCAGCAACUGGUAUUAUGGGUGGUUGGGGUGAGGGGCAUUUUGCAUCAAAAUGCCAUUGUAGUGCAAACCUGUCCAGUGUGGACAGCCAAAGUUCUAGUGAGACUUUUUUGGGCUCCUGUGCUUGUAAUUAACAGCUUGCUUGAAACUUCUGCCUGUGUUAUUGCAUCUUGUUAAGCACAGCAGCAGGAUUACCGAUACCCCUUCAUUACCAUUAAUAGAAUCUCUGUUUUAUUUUGUUUUGUGUUUCAUCACCAAUAUUCUCCUACAGCAACCUGAACAAACAAUAAAAUGACCAGAAGCUACAACAAGUUUAAGCCCCAAAAUGAAAUGCUCCAAGGCCAUCAAACACAAUAAUAAAGUUUUAUCAUCACGGAGUCAGGAUUCCCGACAUCAUAUUCAAACAAUGACCUCCAUCAUUUGCCUCCAUUAAAGCAGUCCAGAACUUCCUCGUGAGUUUCGCAAAGUUCAUUCAAACACCCUUUUCCACUGUGGAAUCUGCACUUUCUGGAGUGCCCCUCAGUCGCAGGUAUCCCAUGUUUUUGAGUUUGUGGCUUGAGAGGUAGGCGCUGGGGACAGCAACAAAAGUCUGUGAUCAAGCAUAUAACUAAGAGGUUGUCCAUGAUGAUAACAAAGGAGAAACUGGAUUCCUCAAAUGAUUACUGAGGGGUCAAAGGAAAACGUCGUUCGGACCGAAGGAGGCAGAAACGCAAGUGGCGGAGACAUCGGAUUUGGAAUGAAGGAACAUCUGGGCAGAAACAAGAGACUGAGAAUUGUGCUCUCCUAGUGCAAAGUGUAAUGCUUCUUCAGAAUCCUGAGCAUCCAAGUUCAGGAGCUUUUUUUUUACAAGGCAAGUUUCUAGCCUGGCUAGUAAUUUGGGCAAAUUUGCUACUCAAGAAUUAGAAGCCAGAAGAGGUUGGGCCAGACUUCCAGUGGUCAGGCUGUUGUUCUUGAUGCUGUUACACCUCCUUCCCAUAACCAGUCUCAAAAUGUAUCAACUUUGCUCCAAAAAUUGUAAGCAGAAUGAAGGGUGCACAAAGAAGAAUGUGUGUGCAGUUGGUCUUGCUGCUGCUGCUGUUUAUUUUUACAGUCAGGAAGGUUUUCUAGUUGCAGACUUCUGAAUAUAUGUAUUUUUUCCCCCAUAGUGUAACUGGAGGACAACAGCAACUGAGGAAGAGACUGCCCUUCAUUAAGGGACUCAGUGAAAGUGACUGUGGAAAAAGAAAUUGGAUUUCCUCUAAUGUAUAACACUGCUAUACUUGCUGACCUAUCCUGAUUUCCAGAAGUGAGACUGUCAUGCACGCAGUGCCGCUGCAAGCCUUGGCAAAACAUUUUUGUGUUUUCCAUGCAGGUUACGAAAUAAUUUGAUUCCCUUCCCUCUGAAGGGACAAUAUUCCAUGA